UCUCCGUAGGUGAACCUGCGGAGGGAUCAUUACUGAGCGAGGGUUUAACCGCCCGACCUCCAACCCCAUGUGAACCGAAACCUGUUGCUUCGGGGGCGACCCUGCCGUCCGCGGCUGAGCGCCCCCGGGGUCAAUCAAACACUGCAUCUUUGCGUCGGAGUCUUAAUGAAUUUAAACAAAACUUUUAACAACGGAUCUCUUGGUUCUGGCAUCGAUGAAGAACGCAGC
rnacentral:misc_RNA from 1 species